rnacentral:rRNA from 1 species
AUUGAACGCUGGCGGUAUGCCUAACACAUGCAAGUCGAACGAGGUAGCAAUACCUAGUGGCGGACGGGUGAGGAAUACGUAGGGAUCUGCCUUUAAGUGGGGGAUAACCCGGGGAAACCCGGAUUAAUACCGCAUGAUCUCGCAAGAGCAAAGAGGGGGACCGCAAGGCCUCUCGCUUUUAGAGGAACCUACGUCGGAUUAGCUAGUUGGUGAGGUAAUGGCUCACCAAGGCGACGAUCCGUAACUGGUCUGAGAGGAUGAUCAGUCACACCGGAACUGAGACACGGUCCGGACUCCUACGGGAGGCAGCAGUGGGGAAUAUUGGACAAUGGGCGAAAGCCUGAUCCAGCAAUACCGCGUGUGUGAAGAAGGCCUUCGGGUUGUAAAGCACUUUAAGUUGGGAAGAAAAAGCUUCACCUAAUACGUGAAGCCUUGACGGUACCGACAGAAUAAGCACCGGCUAACUCUGUGCCAGCAGCCGCCGUAACAC